rnacentral:rRNA from 1 species
CGCGUAGGCGGGCUCGCCAGUCAGGGGUGAAAUCCUCCAGCUCAACUGGAGAAGUGCCUUUGAUACUGCGAGUCUCGAGGGAGGUAGGGGCGUGCGGAACUUCCGGUGGAGCGGUGAAAUGCGUAGAUAUCGGAAGGAACACCGGUGGCGAAAGCGGCGCGCUGGACCUCUUCUGACGCUGAGGCGCGAAAGCCAGGGAGCAAACG